rnacentral:rRNA from 1 species
UCGGGAAUUUUGGGCAAUGGGCGAAAGCCUGACCCAGCAACGCCGCGUGAAGGAUGAAGUAUUUCGGUAUGUAAACUUCGAAAGAGUAGGAAGAAUAAAUGACGGUACUAUUUAUAAGGUCCGGCUAACUACGUGCCAGCAGCCGCGGUAAUACGUAGGGACCAAGCGUUGUUCGGAUUUACUGGGCGUAAAGGGCGCGUAGGCGGCAAUUCAAGUCAUCUGUGAAAUCUCCGGGCUUAACUCGGAACGGUCAGAUGAUACUGCUUUGCUAGAGUGCAGAAGGGGCAAUCGGAAUUCUUGGUGUAGCGGUGAAAUGCGUAGAUAUCAAGAGGAACACCUGAGGUGAAGACGGGUUGCUGGGCUGACACUGACGCUGAGGCGCGAAAGCCAGGGGAGCAAACGGGAUUAGAUACCCACGUAGUCCCUGAGCGGGCUGGCAAGGCGCAU